GAUGGAAUCGAGGAAGGCUUCCCAUUCCCAUCUUUGCUUUUAAAUUUAUUCUCUAUGAGAUCAAAUAGACACCGGAUUGAACCCCCAGGAAAAAUGAAAAUUGUUCACUUGAAGGGAUCAGACCGACAACUUAAUUGGCAAAAACCAAAAGUCAAACAGAUCAUUAAAUGUAGGAGUGGCCAGAGACAUUUAAGGGCAGUAGCAGUAGAGCUUCCUUCCUCCCACCCAAAAUAGAGGAAAAAGGUAAAAAUAAAAAAAUAAAAAAAGGUGAUUUUUAUUAAAUAUUAAUAACAAAAAUUAAAAAGGGGGGAUUUUUUCUGGCUCUAACAAGCCACAUAGAAUUAGAUUUGACGUGUACCCAUAAAGGGCCUCUUUAAUACAAUGUGUUAAGAGUCAUUGUUAUUAUUUAAUUCCCAUAUAUCUUCUUGAAAGUUCUUACGUACACAACCAUCUUUCCUUAACUUCAUUUGAAAAAUUGAAAACCUUUUUAAAAAAGCUCUUUAUUUGAUCCUUCAAAGCAAGAUAUGAGUGUAACUUAGGCAUAUUGAUCCCACCCAAUAUCACGAUUGAACGGAUUUAGCUCAAUUUGGGUUGGGUUGGGUUUGGCUAAUGUUUAAGUAAUUUGAGUUUAACCCAUAUUCAAUUCAAUGUUUUUUUAUGAUAUUUAUAAUACAUAUUAUUUUAUAUAAUAAUAUUUAUUUAUUUUUAAAUAUAAAAUUAUAUUAUAUCAUUUUUUUUUCAUUAUUUUAAAAAGAUUUAUAAAUUUUUUUUACUUUUUUGUUAUUAUUUUAAAAUUUUAUCUCAUUUAUUAUUUACAUUUUUAUAAAUAUAUAUAUAUAUAUAUAUAUAUAUAUAUAUAUUUUUAAACAUCAUAGAUGAAUUUUAAAUUUUACGAUUGAAUCAACCUAAUUGACUUUAGUCUAAUCUGAUCGAUCUAACCUUAGAGAAAUGAAGUUGAGUUGUAUACUUUAGGCUAGAAGUUGAAUUAGAUUAGACUUGGAUCGAAUGUUUUUUAAUUUCUAUUAAAUUUGGGUUAAUUAACUACCAUUGUCACAUUGAAUUUUCACUUAGGUACUUCUAGAACAUUUUUUAAUUUUUAUAUUUCACUAUAUGUUUAUGUGUCAUCUAUUCAUUGGUUAAAGUUCAGAAGAAUAUUCUCUAAAACUAUAUUCAUAAGAGUAUGACCAUAUAUCCGUAUUCUUAUGAAUACUAUUUAAUGAUUGUAUUCUUAAGAACACGAUUAGGAGUUGGUGUUCUUUAGAACAUGGCUUAUUAGUAGUGUUCCAAACAACAUGGUUAGUAUACGUUUACUCGUAGUGGUAUUUCAAGACAGAUGGCUUAUAGCUGGUUAAUAUUCACUGUAGUGCCCACUUCAACUUCAACUCCAUCAAUUUGCCAAUUAAUGUUCCUUAGAGAGAGACCCUUCAGCGAGAAACCGCCUAACCUCACCCCUCAUCAAUUUCAAAGGACUGGGAUUUCUCCAGUACUAUCACAAUGAAUAUUGUUCUGGAAGGUGUUUGCCCAAUCCCAUGCAUCUCUUUUCAAGAUAUAUACAUGUGCGAUUAAAAAAACCCAAAAAGCCAAGGCCUAACGAUCCUAAACGUGGGAUGGCUUAAUCAAUAAAGAGACAUGCCUCCUAUCUUCUCAACUGCCCACUAAAAACUCCAAUAAAUUUGGGUGGUUGUUAGUUUAGACUGGUCCAAAAGUCCAAGCAAUUAUGAUUUUAUGAACCGCCCUUUCUGAUCUCUUUUUCCUUCAUUCAGUGAACAAACCCAAAGACAAAGCAAAAGGUGUAAUCACUGAUUCACAUACCCUUUUGUUUCUUCAUGGUACUUCCAUUACCGAAAUAACUUAGUAUUGCUAUUAUUUGAUGAAAUCUCUCACCUUCUAUCUUUCACACCAUUUCUGCCAUUUGGCCCAAUUGCUUCCAGAGCAUUCAAUGAGUUUAAAUGUGUGGUAGUUGGUAGCAAUUAAACUAGUCUUGAAUGUAGGUGGUGUGUUACUUUCUAUUUUCCUUCUACACUCAACAAUUCUCUUAUAAAUGUUGCAAUCCACUUGGCAUAUGAUUCCCAUUCUAGCCUAGCUAGCUAUCAGUCCUUGUAUCCCUCCUAGUAUUAUAGUUUUCUGUCCUAGUUUCAGAGCUUUAAUGGAGUUUCAUCUCCUACCCAUCCUUGCUCUUAUCUCUGUAAGCUUUUCAAAAUAAGCAGCUUUUUUUUUUUUAGUUCAUGUUUCUUUUAAUCUACAUAUGUUUAAGCAGGUAAUGAAUUAAUUUCUCUAACCUUUUUUUAUACAGCUAGUAGUGGCAGCAGGCCAUGCUGCUCUACCUACUGAAGUCUACUGGAAUUCAGUUCUGCCAAACACUCCCAUGCCAAAAGCUAUCAGGGAUAUUCUUCGGCCAGGUUCUCACAGAAUCCGGCAAUUCCUCUAUCAGUUUUGACACUGUUUGUCAGUCAAGAAUAUAUAUAUAUAUAUAUAUAUAUAUAUAUAUGCAUGGAAGCACUUCUAAUCUUUUUAGUACUUAAAAUUUUGAUCAAAAGAGUUGUUUUCAAGUGCCAGAAAAGCUAGAAAUGCUCAGUGGAAACGCUUUGUAGAGUUAGUAACCUGUAAGACAAAAUUAAGCACUCACCAUGUAUUCUUGAAUUCAAUGGAUUUGCAGAUCUUAUGGAAGAAAAAGGCACUUCCGUAAGUGUAGGGAAGGGCGGGGUAAAUGUCCAUGCAGGAAAAGGCAAAUCCGGAGGCGGCACCACUGUCGGGGUGGGCAAAGGCACUGGGGUAAAUGUUCACGCAGGAAAAGGAAAACCUGGAGGUGGCACCACUGUUGGCGUCGGCAAAGGAGGAGUAUCUGUUAACGCAGGCCACAAGGGAAAGCAUGUAUAUGUUGGUGUUGGUAAAGGGAAAAGUAAAUCACCCUUCGAUUACAAGUAUGCUGCUACUGAGGAUCAGCUCCAUGAUGAUCCAAAUGUAGCUCUUUUCUUCUUUGAGAAGAACAUGCAACCUGGGACAAAGAUGGAGUUGCACUUCAUUAGGGAUGCAAAUCUAGCCACCUUCUUGCCUCGUCAAGUUGCCAACUCCAUACCUUUUUCAUCCAAAAAAUUCCCAGAAAUUCUGAACGAGUUCUCGAUAAAACCAGAAUCAGAAGAAGCUGAGACAAUCAAGAACACAAUCAGAGAGUGUGAGGAGCCUGGGAUUAAAGGAGAGGAAAAGUAUUGUGCAACUUCACUAGAAUCCAUGGUUGAUUUCAGCACCUCAAAGCUUGGAAAAGGUGUUCAGGUGAUUUCAACAGAGGUGGAGAAGGAAACCCCGGAGCAGCAGUACACAAUUACAACUGGGGUGAAGAAGCUGGCAGGUGACAAAGCUGUGGUGUGUCACAAGCAGAGCUAUCCCUAUGCAGUGUUUUACUGCCACAAGACUCAGACCACAAGGGCUUAUAUGGUUCCCUUGGUGGGUGCUGAUGGGUCCAAAGUUAAAGCAGUAGCUGUGUGCCAUACAGACACAUCGGCAUGGAACCCCAAGCAUUUGGCUUUUCAAGUGCUCAAAGUUAAGCCAGGAACUGUUCCAAUCUGCCAUUUCCUUCCUGAGGAUCACGUUGUCUGGGUUCCAAAAUAGAAAUCUGCAGAAAGGACUUGAGAUUUGUUAGUUCCGCACAUCAUUCGGUGUAUCGUACUAGUUUGAAAUUCUGUAUGUUUGGUAUUUACGUCUGUAAUACUUCAAACCCCAUUGCCAUAUGAUUAUAUAUAAAUAUAUGAGUCAUAUUAUUCCCUAGUAGACAUUCUCUGCUUGUUUGUUAGUGCUAUUUUUAACUAGCUUUAAUGGGAGUGAAAAUUACCUAGUUGACUACAUUCCGUUGAUUGCUAUCUAACACGUAACGAAAAUUGCCUAGUUGAGUAAAAAUUAUGAUUUUAAAACUUUUUGUAAUGAGUAUGAGACUGAACACUUAUAAAAUACUUCAAAAAGAAAACUAAAACUUUGUAAGCAAUGACCGAAACAAUACUAAAUAAAAACAAUUUACUUAAAUAUUUUCAAGUUGAGCAAUUAAUACAACGUGUUAUGUUAAAUAUAUAUAGAAUUUUAAUACAAUCUAUUUUAAAGAGAAUAUAUACCCUAUGAACUUGGAAAAACGAGAAACUCAAUAUUAAUUAUUUUAAAGGUUUUGGAUGUGCGCAUUUGUUUUAUUAUCGAUCUUAAACACAAUUUGAGAAAAUUCGAUUCAAAAUAUGUUGAGAUUUAUUAUUAUUGUUAUUAUUAUUUAUCUUCAACAAGGCUUAUAUAAUUUUCAGCAAAUUAAAAGAACCUUUGUAGUGGAGGAGUCCAUUCAUGCUUUCGUUGAUGAGUCUAACCCAUCUCUUUUGGAUGGUGCAAAAGUUGAUGAUCACCUAGACUUUGAUUAAGAGAUCAUGAAAAGAUUAAAAAUUGAUGAAUCUCAAUUACAAUAAGUAGAUAAGAUAGAAGUAAAGGAAGAACAAUGACCUCUUGCACUAUCAUUAUCACAAGGAGAAAUAUGCCCAAGCUAAGAUCUUAUGGGAGUUGAAGUUUGUUGCUCAUCAUCUAUUAAGACUGAAUAGUAAGUAAUCUAUUUAAUAGGGUAAGAACCAGACAUUUCCUUAAAAAAAUUUGUAAUAAUAUUUUUGUUUUGUCUCAAAUUUGAACAAAAUGAGUCUUUAUAAAUCAAAUGUGUAUAAAAAUAACAUCAUUAUUAUAAGCAAAGCUAGAUUACUGGCAUAAGAUUUAACCAAAAAGAAGAAAUUGAUUAUGAGGAAACAUUUCCUCCAAUUGCUAGAUUAAAAGUUAUUAGGAUGUUAUUGGAUUUUGCAUGCUAUAAAAAUUUUAUUUUAUAUCCAACGGAUGUAAAAAGUGAUUUCUUAAAUGAUUAUACUAUGGAAGAAGUUUAUGUAUAACAACCUCAUAGUUUUAAAAAUAUUGAAUUUUUAACCCAUAUUUUUAAAUUUAAAAAUACACUUCAUGGUUCAAAACAAGCUCUUAUAACAUAAUAUUAAAGAUUAAACAAGUUUUUACAAGAAAAUGGUUUUAAAAUGACAAUAUAGAUAGUACUACAAUCUUCCUUAAAACCAAAGAAGAUGAUAUACUCUUAGUUCAAUUUUAUAUAAAUGAUAUUAUAUUUGGAAUACUAACACUAUUCUUAGUAAAAAAAAUUCUAAAUGUAUACAUUGUGAGUUUGAAAUGAUCAACAUGAUGGAGCUCAACUUCCUUCUCGAACUUCAAAUCAAAUAAUCAAAGGAGAUGAUCUUCACAAACUAAGCAAAAUAUAUAUAUAAAAGACCUCCUUAAGAUAUGAAAAGAUCAUGGUUACUCCAUUGAAUUCAUCCAUCAAGCUUGACAAGGAUGAAUAAGGUAAAGUCAUUGGCCCUACAUGUCAUAGAGAAAUGAUUGGUUCAUUAUUCUACCUUGUCGCUAGUAAAUUAGAUGUUAUGUUUAAUGCUUGUUAGGGUGCUUAGAUUUCAAUCAUGUCACAAGGAAUUAUCUUUUAUUACUGUUAGAAGAAUUCUUACUAAGUGAUUUUUUUUUUCUAAUUAGCUAUUUGGAUGCAAAUUUUACUGAUUGUAAAAUUGAUAGAAAAACCAUUAGUGAUAGUUUUUUUACUUCUUAAGUCAUUCACUUGUUGUCACUUAUUUAGGAAGCUGAAUUUACCGGUGUUAGUUUCUAUUAUGCUCAAAUUUUAUGGAUAAAACAAACCUUGCAUGAAUGCUCAUUUACCUAUUAAAUAUGAUAACAUUGUGCUAUAAGCAUCUCUAAAAUUUCUCAUUACUCUAAAACAAAGCAUAUUGAAAUUAGGUGUCACUUCCUUAGAGAUUAUGCAUAAAAAGGUGACAUUAUAUAUACUUGAAUUGGUUGGACAAAUGAUGAAUUAAUAGAUAUCUUCACUAAACCAUUAAAUGAGGAUAUAUAUAUAUAUUAACCAGUAGAAGAGAAUUAAGUUUCAUUGAAGUUUAAAAAGUAUUCAUGUUUACUCAACCAAAUAUGUGUUUCAAAGAUUUUGAAAAUUGAACAUCUAUAUAAUUGUUGAUUACACCGAUUUUGAAGGCAUGAUUGUUUGCAUGUUGUAUUUUGAUUCAAACCUCAAAUUUGAAAUUUUCUAUUGGAUUAAAACACUCAUCUAUGGUCAAUUUAACCUCAUAACAAUAUCCCCACAACAUAUUUAAGAAAUGAACCAUCAUUCUCACUUGAUUUUAUGGAGCCAUUAUCACUUACGGGUUUAUGAUGGUUGGAGAAGACUAUUGCAUGUAUGUUAAUCGAUAUAGGAUAAGUUUCCCCAUCUUAUCUUUCUAUAAUGAUGAUAUUUUAUUGGAUGAAAAUAACAAAACGAUGAGUUUCACCGAUUAUCGUUCACUUUUGAGAAGAAGUAGAUGGGUGAAGAAAACUAUGUCAUAGAGUUAAGGUCUUAAGGAAUUGUUCAAAAAGGCUUCUUAGUUCGUCUCAACCAAACUUAUAUAAAGAAAAUUUUUGAACAAUUUUAGAUGGAAAUUUGCAAACCUAUAGACACACUUAUUGAGAGAGGGGAGGGUCUUAAGCCUGAAUAUGUGUCCUAAGAUUGCCAAUAAAAAGGAAAAAGAUGGUCUUCUAAAUUUCCUAUCCUGGUGCCAUUGGCAGCUUAAUGUACAUCCUAGCUAUGAUCGAUGUUUACGCAUCUUGACAUUUGUUAUUAAGUUAAUAAAUUUUAAUUAGAUCUUAGUACUCUUAGAAGACGAUGAAGCAUAUGCUUCAACAUUUAGAAGUACAAGAGACCGUAUACUUUGUUAUUAGGGAUCAAAUUUGUGCUUGAUUGGUUACAGUUACAUUAUUGGAUAAGUGACCUGGAUGACCGCUGUGAGUGUUUAGCUAGGUUGGCAAUUCCGAACAAAAUUCCUAAGUGUCCCCUAACUCGGCUUUCCUAUUCCUAUUCGGACUACUUGACUUUGAAGACUAAGACUUUGCUAAGAGGCCAAGGUAUGUAGUCGAGUGUGGAGUGAUUGGGUGUGAAUCAACCCGGUUUUUAAUCUUUAAAAUGUGUUAGAAAGUUGGGAAAAAUGGUUUUUGGUGCAAGGCUUUUAUUCCUCUGUUUCUGGAUCGAUCCAGGUGUAGGGGUGGAUCUAUCCAACUAAUGUUUUUUUGAUCAAAUCUCAGCCAUUAGAUUAAGGGUUUCUUUUUACACUUUAAAACCCAAUCUUCUCUCAUUUUCUGGGUGGAGAGACUGCUGAAAACGUGGGGAGAGCAGCCACACUCCCAAGUGUUCUUCAUUUCUCAUUUUUGCUUUCCUAAGUUGGGUUUUUUGAUUGCAAAGAAAAUCAACUUCUCUUAAUGUGUUCAAAACUUGUUUUCAAUGGAUUUUCUUGAGCAAUAAAUGGGUUGAUUCAUUCUUUCAUUCACAUCUAAAUCUCUCAUUCUAUUUGGGUUGUGCAAAAACCCAUUUUCUUCUUGUGUGGAUUCAAGAAGAGGCCGAGAUUGAGCUUGGUGCGGACUCCAAGUGUGCUCCAAAAGGAGAAGCUGAAAAUGAAGGUACUAGUCAAGUAUUCCGGGAAGGAUUGGUUGGCUUGAGCUAGGUAAAACCUUGUACUCAGUUUUUUAUUCUUCAUAGUGGAGUUUUCAAUCGGUGAUAGGCCCGUGGUUUUUGAUCUCUUCGGAGGUUUUCCACGUUAAAAAUCUGGUGUUCAUUGUCUCUUUCUCUCACUCUAUAUUUUGUUUUAUUUUUGAGGAGUGUUGAAGCAUUUGCAUGUGUUUUGCAUUUAUAAAUUGUUGGGAGAGUGUUGAUGCAUACAUUGUUGCUUGUGGAUGUUUUAUUAAGGUUAGGUAAUCUUUGUUGGGAGAAUUUUAAAAUUGUUCUACAACACCUAUUCACCCCCCUCUAGGUGUAGUUCAUUAUUGAGAUUCACAUUUUCAACCGCAAAUUGACACCUGGAUGAUAUCAUAUCUUGGAGCAGUAGGAAAUAAUCCUGAAUUACACCAUCUCGGAUGGAAACAAUGUAAUACAUCCCUCACAUGUCAUGAAAUCAUCACUAAAUUAUUUUGCUUCAACACGGCACUCUAAGUACUCAAUCUCUCACCCCCCCUCUCAGUCUCCAUCCCAUCAGUGCCAUUUAUCUAACAGCAUUUAAUUCAUGUAAGCAAGGGUAGUUGAAGAAAUUAAACUAGUCAUCGAUACAGGUGAUGUGUUGCAUUACAACCCUUGUACGCCUCUUCAUGAAAAUUAAGCGUUCAGAUUCUUGGGCCCUCUCGGUAGCAUUGCUUUCUUCUGUAGUUGCAAAGAGCAGUAAAUGUAUGUGGGAUUUAGUUUUUCUCUGGAUAUAGUUCUUAAGAUAAGAAGAUAGCUGGUUAUAAUUUUAUGGUUGGUCUUUUAUCCUCUACCUCCAUAUGAGAAUCUGACAAGAAUUUGUCUUAUAUUUUGAUGCAGAUAGCAGUGCAAGCAAGCCAUGCAGCUCUACCUUCUGAAGUCUACUGGAACUCAGUGCUGCCAAACACUCCAGUGCCAAAAGCUUUCCGGGAUAUUCACCAGCCAGGUUCUCACAGAAUAUGUUAUGUUUGUUAGCCUAGAAUAGAUAGGAAAAUGAAGAGCUAGAAAAGAUAAACAUGAAAUAUUCUUAUGACAGAAAGGAGUUAAAGAGAAGGAAAAGGAAAUUUAACAAGAAUCAAAGUUUGGAAUGAAUGUUUUAUCAGCACCAAUACAGAGCAUUUGGGUGCAUGGGAACACUAGUUACACCACCACCAUCAGAUUUAUACAUAGCAGUGUAGUGUUGAUGGACUUUAAUUUCCAAAGAAUGGCAAUCAUAAUUUGUCAUGUUCAGUGGUUUUGUCGAGUUGAAAAGAGAACAGAUUUUAUUCCAAGCUCAGGAAUGAAAAGGCCCUACCAAAGUUUGAGCUAAUUUGCAAGACAAAUAUAUUUCUCCUUUGUUUGAGCAGGUCACUCACCUUGUAUUAUCCAAUUCACUGAUUUGCAGACUUCAUGGAAGACAAAAGCACUUCUGCAAGUGGAGGCCGGGAUGAGUUGGGUAAAUGUUGAUGCAGCGAAAGGAAAACCUGGGGGUGUAUCUGUGAGUAAAGCGCACAAGGGAAAGCUCCAUUGUGUUAACUCAACCACACAUGAACAGAAAUAAAAAAGGAUGAGAUUUUAACGUAUUUUGGGGAUGAUCCUUAAGUCCGUUGAAUGCACCAAUGCUUAAAAAUCCACUGGUCAAACAAAGACAAAAAAUUAUAAUGGUUGUAGUUCACACAAUUCUCUCUCUUAGACUAAACCUUCAACCUCAUCAUUCAAUAAAAAGAAAAAAUUUACUCCUGUAAUAAAAUUGAUUAGGCUUCAUUAUCCAUCAUAUGGGAGUUAAGUAAGGGAAUAAAAACUUGAAUAUUUUUAAAUUAUUGAAUCUUUAUAUCGAAAACUAAAAAUAAGUAAAAUGAGUUUGAAGUAGUAUAUAAAAAUAAUUUAUUAAUUUUAUUUUUUAUUUUAUUUUACUUUUCCAAUUUAUUUUCCUUAUAUUUUCUCUGGAAUUUUCUGACAUAACCUAUAUGUUUGAUAUUUAUAUGACCACCAUAUGAUUACAUAUAAACAAGAUGUGCAUUGUAUACUUUUGAGUAGGCUUUCUCUUCUUGUUCUUGGUGCUAUGUAUGUUUAACUUACCCCUUAUGGCUGUGUGUAAAUUCUUUAGGAGUUCCCUUUUCUUAGUAAGAAUCUUACAAGGACUAUAUAAGCAAUUCUAGAAAAAUAAUAGCUAUCAUUAACAGGAUAUACCAAUACAAACACCAAAGUUUCUUUUACAUCAAAUCAUGUUCCUGAAUAUCAUUGACCUUCUCUCAGCUGCAGGUUUCUAAGAACAAGACAGACCUCCCUUGAUAUAACCACCAUCCACUAACUUGUACAAAAUUACUCAUUCAAACAGUAGAAUGAUUUCAAUCCUAUCAUUAAAUUUCACGUUUUAUAUCUGGAUUGAUCUCUCAAGCAUUCAUCCAUCCUCCUAGAGCAUUCUAGCACCAAAAGGCUGUAGGUUUACUCACUGGUUGUGCUCAGUCUGAACAAACAUUGUCAUGCAUGGGCAUGUAAUUCCUACCAUAUUUUGUCAUUCCAGCAGAAGCUUCAACAUAUAUAACCAUAUUAACGCAAGAACACGAAGAUUAAACAAUUCAUUCAAGAUACACAAGAUUUUAACGUGGUUUAAUCAAUAAGAGGUACCACCAUGGAUGAGAUAGAAAUGAUAGAGAAUAUUAUCAAAGACAAAAAACAAUUAUAACUAUUAGUCCUGAUGAGCCUUCUUACUCCAUUGGUGUCUCCCAUUAUUCUUCAUAUUUUUAUCCAUCUUCAUGAACUUAUCUCAUGUUAUCUCAUUUCAUGACUUUUUAAUCCUUUUCAAAGUUCAGUACUGGAAAAUCCUGCUUUCACAAGGGGAAAAAAGAAGAAGAAAAAAACCCUACCAUACUUCUUUGUCUUCUGUAGGUUUAGGUUACUUGAGGGCUCAUGCAAAAUAUGUUCCUAGCUGUCUCACAUUCAUUCAUAGUUGGCAUAUAUAUCUUUCUCUUGAAAAAAAAUAAAUUAUUUAAGAUUUCCUAUAUUCAUGUCCAAUAUUUCCUAAUUCCUUGUGUUGUUAUUAUAAAAUAAGAAAGGUUAGUAGAAAUAUCUUUAUAGAUAUUUUAUGUCAUGAGGAGAAAAAGUCUUGAAAUGAGAUAAGCCAUUAAAAGGAACGGAUGCCGAGUUCCUCCUUCAUUAGUGCAGCAGAGGAAGACGAAGUUAUAGGCAGUAGGCAAAGGACUACCCUCAUUAUGUAACUUCUUCUCACCUUUCAGCAUGAAUAUGAAAUUGGCAAUAGUGAAUUAAAUUCUUUAGAGCCUCUAGUACAAGCUUGGAUAUCCCAAUUAAUAUGUCCUAGCUAUUAUCCACAACUCUUAACAAUGUUUUAACCACAGAAUAAACUUCUGCCAUAACUCAAUGAAAAUCUACUAAGAUAUGUCUUUUCUACAUCAAAAAGAGAAAUAUAUUACUUAGUAAUUCUUUCCCAAAAUUUAAACACUUCCUGCAGUACCCAAUGACAAAUGUUGGAUGGUUUGUUGUGGUUGCACCCUUGAACAAGCUAUUGGUUUUCUUCACAUAAAUGAGGACUUGCAAAUUUGUAGGGAAAGAAAUAAGAAAAACAGGGCAAAAACAGGGCACACUAGGGAAAUGUGAACUGAAGCUUCCAUAUUUUCAGAUUUUUCAGAUGCAAAUAUAAGAAGCUUGCUCAACAAACUUCCUUUCUUUCCAUCCAAGCCCUCUUGCUGUCAGGAUUACAACCAUAGAUCAAAAGAUAACUUAACUAUAGUCAAAAUAUUAAAGCAAAGUACAGUACAUUAACUCAUCGACAACAAAAGAUCGACUGAAGCAUUACUGAAAUUAAAAAAAAAAAAAAAAUACUAUUAUGAUAAUCCACAGGCCAUAAUGGUUCCUUUUCGGUUUAUGGUGGUCUUAUGAGCAGAAAAUCAAUAUCAUCUACCCUAUGCUAUGUCAUCUCUGAUCAAUAUCAGCUACUAUGAUUUGAAGAAGGAAACCAGAAUAGUAAUGCCUCAUUAAAAUUGAAGACAAAAACUCUCAACCACCCACUAACCCUAAUAAGUCAAGUAGUUGCAAGUGCAAGCAACUGAGAGCUACCCAGUUUUCAUAUUUUAACAACUUUCAAUCAUUCAAGAAGACAUUACCAAACUAAUAAGAAAAAUCAUCCUGAAGGGAUGGUUUUGGUUUAACAUGGCACUGUAAAUUAGUUCACAAUCUCUGACAAUCUCUGGCAAUCUCUCACUCUCUACUCCAUCUGUGCCAUAUAUCUAACUGCAUUAAUUCAUGCAAGCAAGGGCAGUUGAAGAAAUAAUUAAACUAUUCAUCAGUAUAGGCGGUUGUGUAGGGUUAGUGCCAUGCACUCUUCUUUCCAUCAGAGCUAAGCUUUCAGUUCCUGUCACCUCUUAGUAGUGUAGCUUUCUCUGGGUAUAUAUAAUUCUUAAAAUUUGGAUGCAGCUAGCAGUGCCAGAAAGCCAUACUGCUCUACCUUCUAAAGUGUACUGGAAUUCAGUACUGCUGCCAAUGCCCAAGGAUUCAGAGAUAUCCUUGUCCAGGUUCUCCUAGAAUCCAAAAAUUCCUCUAUAUGUUUUAACAUUAUGUUUGCUAAGGAGGCAUAGAAAAGUAGGAACAAAAAUAAAUGAUAAAUUGGAUUGGAAUGACCAGUGAUGAACCAAUCUAUGCGGUAUGAUUUUGUUAUAUAUGUGCAGCAAUGCUGUUACUUAAGAAAAUGACGGUUGAAAAACAAGGGAUGGUUGUGUAAGGUCAGAGAUGGUUAAACCCUGUUAUAAGUGUUGGGAUGAGUUAAGGCCUCGAGAUAGGUGCAUUGGUGGUAGAGGUCAAUCCCAACUGUGUACCUCCGAAAGAUAAAGCCUGGGUGAAUGUGAAUGAAUGUAACAUCGAACCACGUCAAAAGGAUAGUUUGACAUUAGUGACAAUCAAUUGAUUUUCACAUGAAAUGACUAAAUCGUUAAUAGAAAUUAAGUUCAUAUAUAGCACAAGAAGUUGCAUAGACUCGAAUUUAAGGGAGAAAUUGUUAGAUAUGCAACAAUGGUAUUUCAUGAAUAUAUGACAGUUAAAAAAUGACCUAGACUAGGUGUAUAAGGCUUCAAGAUGACUACCUUGUGUGAGAUAGGUCAAAGUCUAUUAUGAACGUGAAUGAGUGUGAUGUUGAACUACACCACUAUGGUGUUCAAAAUGUACAAAGUGUGGGGUUAAAUUGGCCCAUUUUAUAAACAUAAAAAAGUUAUGGGUAUAUUUUCUUCUUUUUGUAAGUAGACUCUUUUAUUUAGUUUUUUAAAAAGUGUACAAUCCCAAAUCCCGGCAAGUCCCAAGCCACAAUGCCAAAAUCAAGUUAAGGCCUAAGCUUGCCAAGAUUCAACUCAUACCAAGUUUUAAGCCAAAACCCAACCCAAAUCAAGUUGAGAUCGAAAACUCAAGUUAAAACUCAAACUAUAUUAGGACCCAAAUCGAUUUUUUUUCUAACUCUCGAUCAAUAACCCUAAAAAGGAGGAAUUAAAUAAUAACAUAAUAAUUGUAUUCUCAUUUUUAUAAAUUGAUAAAAUUCUUAACUUGCUCAUAUUUUUCUCAUUUAAGAGAAAUUCAUGUGACGACCAUUUUGAAUAGCACUUAAAAGGAUAUUUAAGAGUGUACAUCAGUCAUAUCUCUCUUUGUACAUUUUCAUCUCCUACUUUAUUUUCUUUUAUGACAAGGAGAAAUAGCUAAUGUAUUGACAACACUUAGAAAAUAAUGCAAAUGAAAUUCUAAGUAUUUUCAAACAUGUAAAUAAAAUUUUAUCAAAAUGUGAAUUUUUAUUUUAUACUUUCUUUUUUUAAUCAAAUGAGUAUUUCAAAAACAUAAUUUAUCCUAGAGCAAACUUCAAAAUUAUGAAAUCUCAUAUUUAAUUUUUUUUUAAAUUAUUAUUAAAUGUCUUUACUUUUCAUUCUAAAAGCAAGUAAUUUUCAGGAGCAUUGAUUUGAGUCAUAUAAAAAAAAGAUAGAUUUGAUUCUGAUUUUUUUUUUUUUCCCAUUUUUAAAAAAAUCAAUAUAGAAGAUGAUACAAAUCAAAGAGAUUGAUAAUCUCUUAUUCAAAGAAUUUGGCAAGACAUAAAGCACUUGAAAUCUAUCCACAGUCAUGCAACCUCCUAUGUUGGUACAUUGAAUUUUUUUUGUGUAGUUCUAAGCCUUUAUUCAAUAAAGCAAUCAUCAACCACAAACAAUAGCAAUGGUGAGGCAUCAAUUAUUUUAUUAGUAGUCUUUGUAACUAGGUUCUGCCGGUAGAUUAAUUGAGGGUAGAAGAUAGCUCAUGUGGCCUUUCUUUUCACCACAAAGGGAUCAUAGCCUGGGUCUUUCUGGCCCUACCAUCUUAUUUCUAACUACUUUUUUGCUAGUUUUGUUUGACAUUUGAUUUCCUUUAAUAUGGUGACCUAAUUGGGAGGACUAGAGUUUAAAGCAUUUAGGCAGCAUUAAAGUUUGAUUUCCCAACCAUCAGGGCACUCCCAACAACUGUCUUAACAAUAAUAUUACACAUGCAACUGUUGGCUCCAAAAUUCCAUGCAACAAAGGCAUGUUUGGCAAGUGCCUUUUACAACACUUUUAUGCUGUUUAAAACAGAAAAUUGUUUUUUUAGCUCAGUAGAUAUAAUCGACAUACUUUUAAUAAACUUUAAAAAACAUUUAUUUUUAAUACAAAUCCUAAUGAUUUCUCAUUGAUUUUUACAAGAUUUUGAACAAUAAUUGAAAAUUUACACUAUAAAUAACAUUUAUAGCACCUUAAAAAAAUAAAAAUAAAACAUUUUUUCAUAGAGUUUUCAAACCAAAUUUUAUUUUUAAAAACUAAAAACAAUUCUUAAAAUUUGUUUUUUUUUUCAAUUGUUUUUUUGAAACUGUUAAAAAAAACAUUCCCAAACAAACCCUCCAAAUUGUGAAGAAAUUUUAAUGAGCCAAAGAGGUAUGACUCAAACUUUAUAUCUUAGUCACUAUAUCAUAUAUAUUUCACUUCUUCCGUACUUCAACUAUAUCAUUUGAACCUUUAAAUCCUAUGUAUCCAAGUGAGAUUGCAUAAGGACAUUCAAUAUAACACCCAACAUUGCUUUCCCAUGCCAAAAAGUAACCCAUGAAGUGAACAUCACACAAAUAACAAUACACUCUAAUACCAAAUCUUUCUUUCACUCCAUCUUCACCUGUGCCAUUUGGGCCAGCUCCAUUUAAUAUGUAUAGGCAAAGGGUAGCUGAAGAAUUAAACAAAUCGCAGAUAUAGGUGGCAUGUUGCAUUCCAAGUUUCCUGCACUAAAAUUAGGCUAUAAAAGAACAAUCCACACUGUUCUUUACACAAGCAAGCAAAGGUUCCAGUUCUUGUUCACUCCCACCAUUAUUGCUUCUCUUGCAGUUCCAGAGUUUCAAUGGAGUUUCACCUCCUACCCAUCCUAGCUUUUCUCUGCGUAUGACCCUUAGAGAAAAGAUUAUGCUUUAGUUCUUUUUUUAUUAUCUACAUUGAUAUGAGAAGCUGAUGAGAACUUAUCCUAACUUUCCAUGCAGCUAGCACUGACAAGCCAUGCUGUUUUACCUUCUGAAGUGUACUGGAAUUCUAUGCUGCCAAACACUCCAAUGCCAAAAUCUAUCAGAGAUGUUUUACGGCCAGGUGGGUUGUGCCCUGUGAGAGUUCAGUGGAGUGUUAAGAUAAUAGUUAUACCUGAAAAGUAAAUGGUUGGAAUGUUAGUAUAUACUCCACAAUCCAACCUUAAGGAGACAAAGUUUUUCUUUACCAAAUGUUUUUUCAGGUAUCAAAAAUAGGAAGAUAAAACCGCAUGAAAAUGACACAAAAUCAAAAGUUUAGAGGGUCAGCUCCGGACUUCUUUGUGCAGCAUCUUCUCCUUGCACUUUGAAAGGUGCUGGGGAACCAUUCACCAUUUGCUUUUUAUCUUUCCUUGCUCAACUGCAUUCAUAAGCCAUAACACAUUAGCAAAAUUCUCUGAAGUUGAAUUGAAAACACAUUUUAGGCCAAACUGAGAGACAAAUCAGCCCUGCUGAUGUUCAAAUAACUUAGCAAGUAUUAAAAUAUCUCUUUUUAUUUAUUUAUUUUUUUUGGUGGGGUGGGGGAGGUGCGUGGUGUGGGGAGAUCAAUGGCUCACCUUCUUAGCUCUUCUAAUUCUUUGUGACACUGGAUUUGCAGACCUGGUGGAAGACAAAAGCUCUUCUGUAGAUGUGGGGAAGGGUGGUGUAAAUGUUGAUGCAGGACAAGGAAAACCUGGAGGUGGCACCAAUGUUGGUGUUGGCAAAGGAGGAGUAUCUGUGAACACAGGCCACAAAGGAAAGCCUGUGUAUGUUGGAGUAACACCAGGGCCAUCCCCUUUUACUUAUAAGUAUGCUGCUACUGAGGAUCAACUUCAUGCUGACCCAAGUGUGGCUCUAUUCUUCAUGGAAAAGGACAUGCGUCCUGGCACAAAGAUGAAUUUGCACUUCAUUAAGAAUACAAAAGAAGCCACUUUCUUACCCCAAUCUGAACACCCGAUAAUUUUCUCAUCCGAAAAAUUGCCAGAAAUUUUGAAGCAUUUUUCAGUGAAACCAGAAUCUGUAGAAGCUCAGAUAAUUAAGAAUACAAUUAAAGAGUGUGAGGCGCCUGGAACUAAAGGUGAGGAAAAGUAUUGUGCAACUUCAUUAGAAUCUAUGAUUGAUUUCAGCAUUUCAAAGCUGGGAAAACGGGUUCAGGCAAUUUCAACAGAGGUGGUGAAGGAAACUCAGAAGCAGAAAUACACAAUUGCAGCUGGAGUAAAGAAGAUGGCAGGUGAUGAAUCAGUGGUGUGUCACAAGCAGAACUAUCCUUAUGCUGUGUUUUACUGUCACAAGACCCAGACAACAAGGGCUUAUAUGG
rnacentral:lncRNA from 1 species